rnacentral:rRNA from 1 species
UACGGAGGAUCCAAGCGUUAUCCGGAAUUACUGGGCGUAAAGAGUUGCGUAGGUGGCAUGGUAAGUAGAUAGUGAAAGCGUCCGGCUCAACCGGAUACACAUUAUCUAAACUGCCAAGCUAGAGGAUGUGAGAGGUACCUGGAAUUCCUAGUGUAGGAGUGAAAUCCGUAGAUAUUAGGAGGAACACCGAUGGCGUAGGCAGGGUACUGGCAUAUUCCUGACACUAAGGCACGAAAGCAUGGGUAGCAAACGGG